GAACUUUGUCAUAAACCUGCGAAUAACAACCUAAAUUUUGAUAUCGUAUGGCUUCAGAAGACUUGGAAUAUAGUGCAUAUGGACUUUUAUGGUGUUUUUGUCCUUUUUGGAGCUCGACAGCCCUUGGUAUCUGUGAACUUUGCAUGGAAAACUCUUACUUCAGCCUGAUACAUUUCCUCAGUUCAUGUGCGGAAACAGAGACACUUAAACGAGGUGUGAUUGUUAGCUCAGAUAAAAGUGACUGCUCGGCUAAUAAACAGAUAGCGAAACAGAUAGACUGUGGCUGUAUCGAUCCAGCACUGACUUGAAUAAUAGCUGGACUACUUUUUAUCCAAGAAGAGAGCUGUUUGAGUCUCUGGCUUAAUCCUGGACUUCUAUGUGUGUGAAUGAGUCCUGAUGUCAGCCAUCUGUAUCACUAUCUGUCUUGCCCACUGUCUGGAGAGACCAUGUUCCAGACACACCCCAGAGCGGAGGAAAUGCCGCUGUGUAAUCACAGCCAUGGCUAUGAGCUCUCUGGUCUCAGAUCAGUGGAAGUAUGAUGCAUACACUUCCGCAACUUAAGCAGGGAGUUUUGGAACCUGAUGUGGGGUCAGCCUGGGGAUGCCAGCCAGUUGCUCCUAACAUGGGGAAGAAACAGAUGGCUUUUGAUGUGGAGCAGGUUUCUUCUCAAGGCUAUCUGCAGCGCCCUGCUGUAUGCUCUACUGCUGUGGCCAUGCUUUUUUAUAUUUUGAUGAAUAUUUUUUUUUUAUUCCUGCGGUGUUGAGGAAGCUACUUUGAAACUGUAGUUUGCCAAGCAGCGAGUUACUCAUUCUUGAAGCUACUCUUUUGAAAUGGGUAAUUAGCAAUACUACUCAUCCUUUACUCACCAUAUCCCAGAUGUGCAUGACUUUCUUUUUUCUACAGAUUACAAAGAUUUUUAGAAGACUAUAUCUUCUGUAGGCCCAUACAAUGCAUCUUCGACUUUUGACCAGCCCCGACCAGUAGGUGUCAAUAUGCACAAAGAAUGGAAAGUAAAAGUAGAGAUUUAUGGUUAAAAAUGACUUAAACAUGGAUCUGUUUCUCAUCCACACGUAUCAUAGCUCUUCUGAUGAUAUGGAUUAAACCACUGGAAUCAUAUGGAUUACAUUUAUGCUGCCUUUAUGUGCUUUUUGGUAAAGACACUGGCUACCACCCCUGGAGUUCGCUAGUUCGAAUCCUAGGGCGUGCUGAGUUACUCCAGCCAGGUCUCCUAAGCAACCAAAUUGGCCCGGUUGCUAGGGAGGGUAGUCGCAUCCUCCUCGUGGUCGCUAUAAUGUGAUUCGUUCUUGGUGGGGCACGUGGUGAGUUGAGCACGGAUGCUGCGAUGGAUGGUGUGAAGCCUCCACAUGCGCUAUGUCUCCGUGGCAACGAGCUCAACAAGCCAUGUAAUAAGAUAAUUACAGAUUGACGGUCUCAGACGUGGAGGAAACUGGGAUUCCUCCUCCACCUCCCGGAUUGACCACGAGGGGGACCACGAGUGCUUAAAGCACUUUGGGAAUUGGGCAUUCCAAAUUGGGAGAAAAAGGGGAAAAAAUCUUUACUUGAAUGAAAAUCAUACACAUCUGGGAUGACAUGAGGGCGAUUAAAUGUUCAUUUUUGGAUGAACUAUACCUUUAACUAUUUGUCCUUUCUUUUGAGUUUAAUCUUUUCAAUGAGUCACUCAAUGAGUGACACUCAAAUCUGGUUGUAGCCUAUAUUUUGUUCACAAAUAAGACUGAAAGCUUUUUAAUAAACUGAACUGUGAACCAUCACUUUCAGAUAUGUCCGAAAACCCAUGGAUGAGCUGAUCCUGAGCAUUUGAAGUAGGCUAUACAUCAAUAAAAACACAUAUGGGCGGGGCCUGGGUAUCUCAGCGAGUAUUGACGCUGACUACAACACCCGACGUCGCGAGUUUGAAUCCAGGGCUUGCUGAGUGACUCCAGCCAGGUCUCCUAAGCAUCCAAAUUGGCCCAAUUGCUAGGGAGGGUAGAGUCACAUGGAGUAACCUCCUCGUGAUUAGUGGUUCUCGCUCUCAGUGGGGCAUGUGGUAAUUUGUACUGCGAAUUGGGCAUUCCAAAUUGGGAGAAAAGGGGAUAAAAAUAAAUGUCACCUUUGAAACCCAUUAAAACUGCAAUAUUUGAUCUUAGAGCCAUUAAAGCAAAAUCAUGAAUUGUAUGAUAUUAUGCUUUCUUUCUGGAGCACUGGCUUUAUAUUUUCCACCAGAUGGCGCCAUUUUUUCUCAUGUUUAGCCUAUGGAGCAAAUACAUGCUUUUUCCUAUUUUCUGUUUGCUGUAUUUUAGAGCACUGCACAAAAAAAUGUAAUACAUCAAAAGUAAUUGAAAGUGGAAAUUAAUAUAAAUAUAUAAUAUUAUUAUGGCAGUUUUUUGACUCUGAGCAACGUUUUUAAAUUGACGCACAAGGGUUAAAUAAACACCCUUAUUAAUACAACUUAAUCCAAAACCAUAAUAACAACAAUAUGAGCUUACAUAUGGCUUUAUUGGAAUGUUUUAGCAUGUCUGGGACCACGUGAUGAUGCAAAAGAACAACUGUGAUCGGUUCUAUGAACUGGUUCAUUGAAACGAAUUGUUUGAAAGAACUGUUCACUCGGCUGCUUGCGCCACACUGUGACAUUACAAAAACAGCGUUGUAGCAUUUUGUCGCUCAACAUCGCUACUUUGUCGUUCAACAUCGCUAAAUUUGCUUGUUUAUGGAAAAGCUACACUAGCUUGACAAGAACUGUGCAAGGUGUCCCACACGUACGCUCUUGGGCCUCGAGCAUCUCUACUUUUUGUUAAUUGCUUCUCAACACUGUAAUUACCUGCCAGCAGGUGCGUAGCAAUCAUUUCAAAUAUGAGGCAGACAGAACGAUUAGCGAAAGAUGGACAAAAAUGUACAAGAUAUAUUUUUAAGGCUCUCAAUCGAUUAAAUAUUUUUAUUGAAUUAAUUACAUUGGAAUACAUUUCAAAUGUAACCCUCCCAAACCUGAAUAUAUUAUAAGUAUAUACAGUAUAAGUUCAUUUUAUUAACAUCUUCCUAUUAAAUAAGUGAAUAAGGGCUUACACAUGUGGCAAGUAUGCGGACAGCUGUUGUUUCAUUUGUGGCCCUCUCACGCUCACUUGUUGUUGUUGUUGUUGUUGUUGUUGUUGUUGUUGUUGUUGUCCUCCCUGCAGGGAACAAGAGAUUCUUUGUUCCUCACUGGGGCAAGUUUCCCACCUGAUUGGCCUGUCUACAGUGAAACACUCAUCAAAAUCAACGUCUACGAUGUGAAGGACAGCCGCGAACAAACUCCUGUACAGCUGAAAACAACUCGCUUUUAGCGCCCCUCUGUGGACAUUUCACCCAGAAAAUGGAGCUUUCAUGUGCCCAUACACGCAACAACACUUACGGCUUUGGCCAGUGGGGGCAGUGUUUUGAAGUUUGGUAAGAACAGGCUGGUUUCAGCUAAAGAAAGGUCAACGUACUGCUUUUGAUAUCACUGUGAGAUCAGUCUGGUGUAAGAGUGUAAUCAGUGUAGGAACGUGCAUAUAGACGUAAGCAAUUAGGCAAAUCAAAUGAACUAGAUUACUAACCAGCGCACAUCCAAGACUGUGGUGUAGAAAUGUAUAUUAAAAAAUAGCCCUGAAAGAAAUGAGCAAACACAGAUAAGAUUUCUGAUUUCUAGCUGAGCUAGUUGUUGUCAAGAGGAAGUAAUUAUGACCUGUCCACUGGACUAGUGAACCUGUCAUAGCUGUCGCAGGGACGGCACGCUAGAUAAUUAAGCAGUCUUUUCGUGUGAAACAAAAAGGGAGCUACCAGGUAAUGAAAGAAUACUGUUUUAUCAGUUAGUAUUCAAAACCAGCUCCUAAAUUGGAUUGUCUUUGUGUGGAGAGGUGCUCAUGGCAUUGAAGGAGUAAAUGCAUAACCAGUGAUUUUCCCAAAUGUAUGGAGACUUGCAAGUUAUUACAUUUACAUACAGCAGUUUGUAUAGGGAAUUACAGUAGUCCAGGCAUGAUGUUAUGAGAGCGUGGAUUACAGUCUCCAAAUCUUUCGGGGUAGAAAUUGUUUUAAUUUUGCAACCGAACUCAGAUGAAAGAAUCUGGCCUUUACCACUGUACUGAUUUGUUUUUCAAAAAUGAUUGACGAAUCAAAUGUAACUCCAAGAUUUCUUACAUAAGGUUGAACACUGGCAGAAAGUGAACCUAAAUUAAAAACAGAUGGAGACCUGGAGGGGCCUAAAAUCAGAAUUUCAGUUUUGCUUUUGUUUAAUUGCAAAACAUUAUUAGCCAUCCAAGAUUUUAUUUCCUCAAAACAGUCGUAAAGCACGUCCAAAGGAUAACUACUGUCAGUUUUAGCUGGUAGAUCAAAUUGUGUAUUGUCAGGAUAGCAGUGAGCGGAGAUCUUAUAUUUCUCAAAAAUGGCACCCAAGGGGAGCAUAUAAAGUGAAAAGAGAAGAGGGCCCAAAACGGACCCUUGGGGCACACCGCAUAAUAGGAGAACCGACAAAGAAGAAGACUUCCCAAUGCUCACUGAGAAGGUUAUAUCUUUGAGGUAAGAGGCCAACCACUGCAGGGCAACGUCCUGAAACCCACAACCUUUUCCAACCGAUGUAACAGAAUACUGUGACCGACUGUAUCGAAUGCAGCGCUUAAUCUAACAAGACAAGCACUGCUUAUGAUGAUCUCUAACUCUGCAAUAAAUUUAAUGGCAUCUAUGCUAAUAUUAUCUUAUUUGUUUCCAUGUCUCAACCUCGGGACUCCUAUCCUGAGGUCACCAGAACCGGCUGGAUCCAGCUCCAUUCCUGCUUCGUGUUGGACUCCACUGCUACAUGUCGCUGAAUGAUGAUGACUACAUGCAGCCGGUGCCAGCCAAACAUCAUCUAUUAUGAUUGACUUCAGAGGAUGAACUGGUGCCAUCUCCUACCUGAAUCACCUCAGUCUAUUGAUGGACUACGAUCUUGAAAUGGAAUGCAUCGACUAACUAUUGCCAACAAAAGCCUUCAUCAGCCAAUUAACAAGGACAAUUGCAUCUAUAUGAACUUCUGCAGUUAAUCAAGAUGGAAUUCAAAGACUUUGGUCAUUAAUCUUACAGUUCAAACACAAUCGAUGUUUAAACACUGACCCUUAACACUUACUUAGUUUAAUAAUUUUAAACCAUGACUUUAACUAUACAUAAGUAAUAUUUACAUUCUAUUCAUGAUGUUAGCCAGAGGGGAACUGGCCCCACAGUGAGUCUGGUUUAAGGUUAGGGUGGGGUUAGUCAGAGGGGAACUGGCCCCCACAGUGAGUCUGGUUUAAGGUUAGGGUGGGGUUAGUCAGAGGGGAACUGGCCCCCACAGUGAGUCUGGUUUAAGGUUAGGGUGGGGUUAGUCAGAGGGGAACUGGCUCCCACAGUGAGUCUGGUUUAAGGUUAGGGUGGGGUUAGUCAGAGGGGAACUGGCCCCCACAGUGAGUCUGGUUUAAGGUUAGGGUGGGGUUAGUCAGAGGGGAACUGGCCCCCACAGUGAGUCUGGUUUAAGGUUAGGGUGGGGUUAGUCAGAGGGGAACUGGCCCCCACAGUGAGUCUGGUUUCUCCCAAGGUUAUUUUUCUCCAUUAAUCUACAUCUUAUGGAGUUUUGUGUUCCUUGCCACAGUCGCCUUCAGCUGCUCACUGGAGUUAUUAAUACAACUAUUAUUGAAUUAUUUUUAAACAGGAUUAAGAAUCGUAUUUUUUCUAAUUGCACAAUGACGAUUCAUCGACUUUAUAGACAUUACAGUUUUAUCGUCUGUUAAUGCUGAUCUUCUGUAAAGCUGCUUUAAAACGAUGUGUGUUGUGAAAGGCGCUAUACAAAUAAAAUUGACUUGACUUGACUGCAUACGAACCAGUAUCGAGAACUUUCAGCAGGUCAUUGCUGACCUUCAACAGUGCAGUUUCCGUACUGUGCAUUGAUCUAAAACCUAAAAUUUUUGGCUUUCUGAUAUAGGAAUUCAACUGAUGAUACACAACUCUCUCUAAGAGCUUUGAAAUAAAAGGUAAUUUGGAGAUAGGUCUGAAAUGGCUAAGGAUAGAUGGGACAAGAUGGGGUUUCUUAAGCAGAGGGUGAACCACAGCAUGUGUAAAACUAGCAGGUACAACUCCAUUUGCUAGAGAACUGUUAAUAAUGGCUGUCACAGCUGGGCUCAAGGUUACAAACACUUCCUUGAAAAGACGAGUUGAGAUGACAUCUGACUCACAGCUGGAGCAUUUAGCCUUGGAAACAAUAUCUACUAGCUGAGCAGAGCUAACUGGAUGAAAACAAGUUAGCGAAUCUGUUGGUGAACAAAUCAAUGGGGUAUCAUAUGAUGAUCAUUAGGGUUAAAGGUGCACUCAGCGAUUCCUGGGAAACACUGUUGAUAUUUGAACUCAACUGCCAAAACAAACACACCCCCUUCAACCCCCCCCCCCCCCCACAAAUACCAUCAGUGCUCCUUUGGAAGCUCUGCUCUCAACUUAUCAUUAUCCUUCUUUUUUUAGUUUAUAUUUCUCUGACCUUUUUCUCUUGGUCUGUUUAUCAGUCAUUUGUCCUCCUUGGAGUUUAGAAUGUUCGCAUCAGCUAGAUUUGCCGUCGCUAGAUUUGCCUUCGCUCUUCUAAUUAAUUCCCCUCUUGUUCUGCCCCCACCCCCAUCCUGUGCACAUGCAAGGACCACCCCCUGUUGCUGAUUGGCUGGAGUAGUGUUGUGUGGAUCGGUCCGAUCCACUUUGUUUUUGUCCAUUUAUAGAGCCAGGGCUGUGUACAAAUACAUUUUUUUCAGCCUACCCACAUAACGAACAGCUACCAGACUGUGAGGAGAUAUUUGACGAAUUUGACCAAAAGUUUAUUGGAUUAGAAUUACUGAUUGCGCCUUUAAAGGAGCAAUAUGUAACAUUAACAUCAAGUGUUUAAAAUGGGUACUGCAGUCCAAAUUAAAAAUAUUGGAGAUAGUUGUCUCCCCUGCCCGUUCCUCCCCAGACUCUAAGCUCAAGCGGGUUGCCAGGUUGAGGACACGCAACAGGAACGAGCAAACUGACAAUGGCAAGCGACGAGCCAUAUACUUUAUGUUGAUCAGCUAAUGUAUAUGUUUGCAAUGUUUUUAUUUUUUGUAUUUUUUAUAUCUCUGUCAGUGUUAGCUAGAUGUAGUGCUGUUUUCCAUGGUGUUUCAGAUCUGGCAACCCAGGGUGUCGAAAUACUAUUGGGAAAUGGGCAGUGGGCGGGACCACACAGGCCAAAACACAAACAGAAACUCCGACCGGGAACGGACAUUUCAAAGUAGAAUAUACUCGCUGUAGCAUUGUUUUUCAGAGAAGCCAGUAUUUCAACUUAGCAUGUUUCCUAAAUCUCUGAUAACAUAUUAUGAUAAUUUGAUGCUUUAGUACAGUAAAUAUAUUACACAUUGCUCCUUCAAAUAGCUUUUCAAUGCACUUUAUAUUACAUUCUGUCCCAUUAUAUAAUGAUAUUUGUGGGUGCUCUGUAGAUUCAUGCAUUUGAACGUUUACAUAUAUGAAUGU